ACAGGAUCUGGAAACAGAUCCUUCUUCGGACACUUUACAAGGUGCUGCAUGGCUGUCGUCAGCUCGUCCCGUGAGGUGUUGGGUUAAGUCCCGCAACGAGCGCAACCCCUAUCUUUAGUUSCCAGCGAGUAAUGUCGGGGACUCUAAAGAAACUGCCUACGCAAGUAGUGAGGAAGSCGGGGMCGACGUCAAGUCAUCACGGCCCUUACGUCCUGGGCCACACACGUGCUACAAUGGUAGAUSCAGAGGGCAGCUACCCCGCGAGGGGAUGCGAAUCUCGAAAGUCUAUCUCAGUUCGGAUUGGCAGUYUGCAACUCGACUCUAUGAAGCUGGAAUCGCUAGUAAUCGCGCAUCAGCCAUGGGCGCGGUGAAUACGUUCCCGGGCCUUGUACCCACCMCCCGUCAAGCCAUGGAAGCUGGGAGUGCCU
rnacentral:rRNA from 1 species